rnacentral:rRNA from 1 species
UACGAAGGGGGCUAGCGUUGCUCGGAAUCACUGGGCGUAAAGGGUGCGUAGGCGGGUCUUUAAGUCAGGGGUGAAAUCCUGGAGCUCAACUCCAGAACUGCCUUUGAUACUGAGGAUCUUGAGUUCGGGAGAGGUGAGUGGAACUGCGAGUGUAGAGGUGAAAUUCGUAGAUAUUCGGAAGAACACCAGUGGCGAAGGCGACUCACUGGACACAUAUUGACGCUGAGGUGCGAAAGCGUGGGGAGCAAACAGG